rnacentral:rRNA from 1 species
AUGCAACCGGCGCAGCCUCCGUGUGGCAGCCGGAGAGGAGGGAGAGGAGCCCCGUCGCGGGCGGCGACACUCCCACGCUGCAACCACCAUCGGCUGCUCGUGCUCGUCGUCAUCGUGUACCUGCUGGGCGGCAGCGACGUUCUUCUUCUAGCCGCCGCGGCGCCGGUCCGCCGUCUGGGAGCAGAGGCAUCCGUGGCGUACGACGUCGGCUCACGGCCGGUACCGGAAGUGGUUGCUGCGGCGGGCUCGCCCUCGUCGACGCCUUCAGCCGUGAGGUUCGCCGACGACAAGCGGCCGGUACCGAGCUGCCCCGACGCCCUCCACAACAGCACACAACCUGCAAGAAGGCUACCCCCGCUCUGUCUCCUUUCCUGUGCCGCGCGCCCCUCCGCCAGCAACCCGCUGGCGUGCGUCGAGCACUCGUCGAUGCAACCGGCGCAGCCUCCGUGUGGAAGUCGGGGAGGAGGGAGAGGAGCCCAAGCGGGGGCGGCCGCACUCCCGCGCUGCAACCACCACCGGCUGCUCGUGCUCGUCGUCAUCAUGUACCUGGUGGGCGGCAGCGACGUUCUUCUUCUAGCCGCUGCUGCGGCGCCGGCCCGCCGUCUGGGAGUUGCGGAAUCCGUGGCGUACGACGUCGGCUCACGGCCGGUACCCGAAGUGGUUGCUGCGGCGAGCUCGCCGUCGUCCACGCCUGCUGCCGUGGGGCUCACCGACAACAAGCGGCCGGUCCCGAGCUGCCCCGACGCCCUACACAACAGAUCCUCGAUGGAGCAGCAGAUCGAGCACAUCGGCGGCGGCGAGAACGCCGACUUCGUGGAGAUCGUCGGCGGCGAAAACACCGACUUCAUGGAGAUCGCCGGCGGCGACCAGGUCAAGAUGUCCAGGCCCAAGCGCCUCAAGAGCUUCCUCCAGGAGAAGAAGUUGUUCACCUUUGCCGGUUUCAGCAUUCAUAAUGACAAAGAGAUGCUGAAGAUGUCUGGUUUGGAGAUCAACCCCGAAAAGUACAUCGACAUUCAGAAAAACUAUAGAGUUCCAUAUGCCUGCAGAAAGAAGCAGUACGACUCCUUGGCUGAUGUUGCAGCCAGCGUCAUCCACCCAUUUUACCAAAACAUGAAGAAGAAGAUCAACAGGACCGAAGACCAUAAACUGUGGGGGAUCAGCCCGCUGCCAGACUACCUCAUCGAGUACGCAGCGAAGGAUGCGUACGCCACCUACAAGGCUUGGAAGAUAAUAGACAACAUCAAAUCAGGUGUGGAAAUUUCAGAAGCACAGGAGGCUGACCCCUACUACCACUGCCACUACGCGGCAUGA